UUUUAGCCCUGAUAGAAGCGAUAUCCUUUUUCUGGUUUCGUUUUAGAAACCAGAAAAAGAUAAAGCAGAUAGCAGGAAUAGCU
rnacentral:sRNA from 1 species